AAAAGAAAUCUACGAAACGUUCUGGUC
rnacentral:piRNA from 1 species